rnacentral:rRNA from 1 species
GGGCCCGCACAAGCGGUGGAGCAUGUGGUUUAAUUCGACGCAACGCGAAGAACCUUACCAAGGCUUGACAUCCCUCUGACAGGGUAGUAACGUACCCAUUCCUUCGGGACAGAGGAGACAGGUGGUGCAUGGUUGUCGUCAGCUCGUGUCGUGAGAUGUUGGGUUAAGUCCCGCAACGAGCGCAACCCUUACUUCUAGUUGCCAGCAUUAGGAUGGGCACUCUAGAGGGACUGCCGGUGACAAACCGGAGGAAGGUGGGGAUGACGUCAAAUCAUCAUGCCCCUUAUGUCUUGGGCUACACACGUGCUACAAUGGGCAGUACAGAGGGCUGCGAGACCGUGAGGUGGAGCAAAUCCCUUAAAGCUGUUCUCAGUUCGGAUUGCAGGCUGCAACUCGCCUGCAUGAAGUCGGAAUCGCUAGUAAUCGCAGGUCAGCAUACUGCGGUGAAUACGUUCCCGGGCCUU